rnacentral:lncRNA from 1 species
UUUUCUUAGAGUAACAUGUAACCUCACAUGUUGAUAUGGAUAAGAGAAGAGAGAAAAGGGAGAAGAGCCACCCUUACACGUAAGGGAGCAGCAAGCUUUACCCAAACUCCAAGAGAGAUGAAAGAAAAAGACUAAUAAAUUAAGAGCAUAAAGUUAUUGUAGUGUAUUGUGGCAAGUGUUCCAGAAUUUUUUUUUAAAAAAAUCAUCGUUUAGCAAUUCGAGAAGCAUACAUGCAUACACAAUUUGCAUGCACAGAUAUAAUAAUACUACACGUCAAACGAAAGGAUAAGGGUUAUAUGCUGAUUAAUUUAAUUUUUUUAUUUUUUGUUAUAUGAUGAUAAAUAUGGAAGGAGGUAGUGUAAUCGUGGUAAUUAUAUGGGCUCAACGGUCGCUAGCAUGAUAGAUUAUUCAGCAUGCAAAGUCAUUCUCAACGGAGACUGGGGAUUACUGUAGCUUCACUGAAUAUUGUCGCGUGCCACACAUAUUUUGUUCUUACUUUUAUCCUCAGAAAAGCCAACAAACUCUUGGAACUAUCAUUACUUCAUGACCCAGACGAAAAAAAAACAAUUUAAUUUUCACUCUAUUAAUUUUUUUGCCGCGAAGAACUUGUUAGGAGCAGGAACAGAGACAACCUCGACGACGAUAGAAUGGGCAAUGUCGCUGUUGCUGAACCACCCAGAAACGCUCAAGAAAGCACAAGCCGAGAUCGACGCGUCCGUCGGCAACUCCCGCCUGAUCACCGCCGACGACGUGCCCCGCAUCACCUAUCUCCAGUGCAUCGUCAGGGAGACGCUCCGCCUCUACCCCGCGGCGCCGAUGCUCAUCCCGCACGAGUCCUCCGCCGACUGCGAGGUCGGCGGCUACAGCGUCCCGCGCGGGACGAUGCUGCUCGUGAACGCGUACGCCAUCCACCGUGACCCGGCGGCGUGGGAGGAGCCGGAGAGGUUCGUGCCGGAGAGGUUCGAGGGCGGCGGGUGCGACGGCAACCUCUCGAUGCCGUUCGGGAUGGGGAGGCGGAGGUGCCCCGGCGAGACGCUGGCUCUGCACACGGUGGGGCUGGUGCUGGGCACGCUGAUCCAGUGCUUCGACUGGGAGAGGGUCGAUGGCGUGGAGGUCGACAUGGCUGAGGGUGGCGGGCUCACCAUGCCCAAGGUCGUGCCGUUGGAGGCCGUGUGCAGGCCGCGCGACGCCAUGGGUGGUGUUCUUCGCGAGCUCUGAACAUUUUGGCGUCGUUUGCAUCUCCAGGGCAAACUCAUGUAUACUGAUGAAGUACCAAAAGUAAGUAGCAAUAAGCUUCUUGUGAGCAUACACAUGUUGUGAACUUGUGAUGUGUAAACUACAGUACUACACGUAGGGGAUUUAGAAGAGAACGACUGCUCUAGCAUUACCAAUUUGUAUCGAUGUGCAAUAAUCCUGUACAAAGUAUAAUUAUAUAAUUAUAUACUUCCUAUUGUUUGUGUGGUGUAUGCGUUCAAAUACUAAUACGGUCAGUCGGUCAACAAAAGAGAACAAAAUUAACAUGAGCUUAUACGACCAGUUCGAAAUACAAGUCAGUGUCGCUGGUCAGUAAACUCUAGAUUAAAAGUAGUCUUACAAAUUCCUGAUUCUUACACAUCUUUUUUUAUCUUUAUCUUUAUCUUUACUACUUAAAAAAUUGAUAGUGGUGGUCUUGAUUCCUGACACAACAGACGCAUCAGGCAGACACGUCUCAUCCUAGCCAUACGAUCGUGAGAUCCAACAGCUCAGAUCAGUUCGUGUAUCUCCCUCAUCGCACUCCUCCUCCGGCCUCCGCACCUAACCUCUUCCGAAACUGACGCCCCCUCACGCGCUCCUCUCUACGCCACACCGUCCAUCCGCCGCUGUCCCCCGUCACUCCAAGCCGCCGCAGCCCCAUCCAAGCCACGGAAUUGAUGGCCUCCCUCAACACCGACCCUUCCCUCGUCGCUCCAAGCCGCCCGCUCCUCUCCUCAAUGACGCAAUAGGCAACAACUCCUCUUGACGGCGACGCCCAAAUCCCAUCGCCUCCAAUCCUGUCUACAGACGGCCCACAGGUUGCCUCCUUCUUCCCUCCCAAGCCGUCUCCCGGUCCUUUGUCCUGUCCGUCAGGCCACCCCUUUGAACAUUCUAUUUUUCUGAUCCAUAUGUUGUACAGCUCAAUGGGCUGAGGGACUGCAGGAAGUCCUGCGCUCGGCAGGGCUCUCGUCGCCUCGUCGGCGUUGCCCUCAGGCCAUUCAAAUGCAAGCACCCACUGUGAGUUACCUCAGGAUGAAGACCUUCUGCUCACAGUGCAAGCACCGAGUGGGACGCACAGUGCACAGCUUUACCAAAUCAAUCCCCAAACUCCUCCCUCUUCCCUCGAUUUCUCCGGCUCCUUCCUCACUCACCACGCCCCGCCUCCUCCUCCCUCCUCACCAUGCCGGCUCUCCCCUGCUCCCUCCAUCGGCGCCGGCUCCCCUCCUCCCUCCGCCGGCGCCGGUUCUCCUCUCCUCUGGGCCAAGCGGCGGCGUCCUCCAUGCCAUGCGGCGGCGACGGCGUUCUCGAAGAAGCGGCGGUGGGAGGACGGCGGCGCGGUGGACGGUGGCGGCGGCGGCGGUGAAGGAGGCUGGGGACGCGGCGGCGGAUCGAGAAGACCGAGGCGGUGGCUCGCGACGAGCUCGGCGUCUCGCGAGCGGCGGAAGGGAGGCGACGACAGAUCCACGGUGCUGUGAGGCUGGGGACGCGGCGGAUUGAGAAGACCAAGGCAGGAGCAGCGGAGCUCGGCGUCGACGGGCUCGAUGCGCAUGGCGUUCUUGGGAUGGGCGGUCGACAUCGCCCGCGACUCCGGCGCGUCGAGCUCCGUCGUGCUCACCUGCGACGGCUACGGCUCGGCGCUCUACUUCUCGCCGUGGGACAGUGUCCCGCUUCCGGCGACAGCUUCCCCCGACGACGGCUUCCUGCUGCCGCGUUUCCCGGACGUCUGCGUGCAGCGCUCGCAAUUCACCAACCACCUCGCGCCGGCCAACGGCACUGGCGGCGGCGGCUCAAGAACGGGCGUCAAGGAGGAAGCGAGCGAGGUGAGCACCGGGUUGGGGUGCUUGCGGCCGGUGCGCGGGCGGCCAGCGGUUCUUGGCGGCGGGAUACGUCCCCGGCUGCCUCCUCCUCUCUCCCACGCCGCCGUGCCUCGCCUCCCACGCCGCGGCGGCACACCGGGGACGCCGCCGCCGUGCGCCUCGCCUCGCCGGGGACGCCGCCGCCGUGUGUCGAUUUGUUGCCGGGCACGGGCGGCGCGAGGGCACGAGCUCCACAGUGCGAGAAAAGCAGCCGUUUCCUCACCUCGCGAGAGAAGGAUGCGCGCGGCUCAGUUUGGCGACGAGGUGCUCUCCACUGGCGCGCACCCUCCCUCCACGCAAGGCCGAGUCCUACGUGGCACCCCAUAGCACCGGUCCAGCUGUGUGCACUGUGAGAGGCCUCAAAUACUCCAAGGUACCACACGGUAUUUCUAUUUCCGAUCACGACCUAUGUAAUCAACCUGUUGUGUUGUGAGCGUGUGUGCCUGAUUUGGUUGCCUGCAGGUGUUGUCCUGGCCACCGACUUCGAAGCAAUCUGUGCGCCGGUUGGAGGUGGCGGAGCACUGGUACCGACUCUACAAGACGGACAAUCAACGGGUACCACAAUCCGGCUCCACCUCGACGCGAUUGCGGCAACCACGAAAACCUCACGCUCCAAUCUGUGCCCUCCGCCCGUGCUCGCUGCAUCUCGUGCCACCGUCUCGGACUCUCGAUCCUCAUGGCCUGAAUUAUCCUAAUUCUUCGUUACCAGUUUUUUUGAGACUAAUAUGACUCCCAUCAAACAAUGCAGUUGAGAGUGAGUUCUUACCUGUAUUAUAUAGUACAUUGUAUUUAAACCAUAGUACAUGGGGACAGUGGUGCGUUCAUCAAUUUAUGGAUUGUGGUAGGCUGGUAGCUGUUUGAUUUGUCACUAAAAUUGCACGACGACAACACUUUGGCCCUGUUUAGAUUCUAACUUUUUUCUUCAAACUUCCAACUUUUCCGUCACAUCGAACUUUUCUACACACACAAACUUCCAACUUUCCCGUCACCUUCACUUUAGGUUCCUAAGUUUAGGUUACCUUCACUUUAGGUUCCUAAAUUUAUCACUAAGUCUGAAAUUUAUCCCUAAACCAAAAUACCAGGUACAACGGAUCCCUCAAUCUACAAAACUCAAUCACCCAAGAUUGUAGAUAGUAUUAUGUCCGGUUUUAACUGACGUGUCAAGUUGAGUUAACGUGGAAUCUAUGCGGGCCCCACAUGUAAGUGGCUAGUACUUUUUUCCACGUUGGACGAAACCGUCUCCCAAACCACUAAAGGAGGCGAUAUGCACCGAUUUUGAUAGAUGGGGGAGACGUUAUACCCUGUUUUAUUAUCAAGAGAUGUGAUUCAACCAGGAGCAAGAGUUGAGAGAGCAAGAAUAGACUUAUUCGUGAGCCCACAGGCUAAACCCGCCACGGCCCACAGACUAAGCCCGCCAACUCGGGCCGUUCGGCCCAGUUUGCACGCAUGGUGGGCCGGAAACUGGAAUCUCCGAACCGCAACGGAAUCGACGACAUCUGUAGCCACAGCGCGCACUCGACGGCGGGCAGCUUCGUCACUGGUUCGAGCUGUCUGCUGACUCAACGACGAACACACGUACUCCUGCUCGGUUUCUUCCUCCGUGUCGCACAAAAGUCAAAUUGCUCUCUAUUAGUAUUCAUUAUUAGCACUUCAAACCUUUCUUUACGUUUUAAACGAACCAACUAAUCAGGUUAUGAGGACUAUAAUAAUCGAAUCCAGGGAUCUUGCUGGAAGCAAUUGAAUAAUCGCCCAACGAUUGAGUUCAUUUCUUGUCUCCAAAGCUGUCUCCUGAUAGUCAACAGGUCUCGGUCCUCGCAGAGUCGCACUGCGAUUUGGCCUCUGGAAACUGGAAAGAGAUCUCGAUCCACCACAAGAAAAUGCCAAGCAGCACGACGACGAAGACGACAACGCCUUCCAGGUACGUAGCAAUUGAAUACGGAAUACUCUCUCCGUUUAAAACGUUUGAUUAUUUUCCUAAUCAAACUUUAUCAUGUUUGACCAAAUUUAUAGAAAAAAAUAACAACAUCUUAAAUAUAAAAUUAGUAUAACUAAAUCUAGCAUUGGAUAUACUUUCAUAAUAUUUGUUUGUUUUAUGUUAAAAAUACUACUAUAUUUUUCUAUAAGCUUAGUCAAAUUUAAAUCAAAUUAAAGAAGAUUAAUUAGAAAAAUAGCCAAACGAUUUGUAAUAUGCAACGGAGUGAGUAGAAGUAAUCGCCCAGCCUCGCCAACGAGGCAACGAGACCCGUAAUGCAACGAUCGCAUCUGCGUUUCAGGCGUCAGCCAUGGCGUCUGCAGAGAUGCCUGGAUUGUCUCCGCAAGAUCUGAUCCAUUUCAUCUCCUUCUAGAAGCACAAGCGCCGCUCGGUAUAAAGGCAGACGCAUUGUCACAAAUAGCUGCAGUGCACCAGAGUCACAGAAACACAUCACACAUUCGUGAGCUCAGCUUAGCCAUGGAUAACGCCUACAUUAUUGCCAUUCUCUCUGUAGCUAUCCUCUUCUUGCUCCACUACUACCUCCUCGGCCGCGGCAAUGGCGGGGCGGCGCGGCUGCCGCCGGGUCCACCGGCCGUCCCGAUCCUGGGACACCUCCACCUCGUCAAGAAGCCGAUGCACGCCACCAUGUCCCGCCUCGCCGAGCGGUACGGGCCGGUGUUCUCGCUGCGCCUCGGGUCGCGGCGCGCCGUGGUGGUGUCGUCGCCGGGGUGCGCCAGGGAGUGCUUCACCGAGCACGACGUGACCUUCGCGAACCGGCCCAGGUUCGAGUCGCAGCUGCUGGUCUCGUUCAACGGCGCCGCGCUCGCCACGGCGAGCUACGGCGCGCACUGGCGCAACCUCCGCCGGAUCGUCGCCGUGCAGCUGCUCUCCGCGCACCGCGUCGGCCUCAUGUCGGGGCUCAUCGCCGGCGAGGUCCGCGCCAUGGUGCGGAGGAUGUACCGCGCCGCGGCCGCGUCCCCCGCCGGCGCCGCGCGCAUCCAGCUGAAGCGGAGGCUGUUCGAGGUCUCCCUCAGCGUGCUCAUGGAGACCAUCGCCCACACCAAGGCGACCCGCCCCGAGACGGACCCGGACACCGACAUGUCCGUGGAAGCCCAGGAGUUUAAGCAGGUCGUCGACGAGAUCAUCCCGCACAUCGGCGCGGCCAACCUGUGGGACUACUUGCCGGCGCUCCGGUGGUUCGACGUGUUCGGCGUCAGGAGGAAGAUCCUCGCCGCUGUAAGCCGGAGGGACGCGUUCCUUCGCCGCCUGAUCGACGCGGAGCGGCGGAGGCUGGACGACGGCGACGAGGGCGAGAAGAAGAGCAUGAUCGCCGUGCUGCUCACUCUGCAGAAGACAGAGCCGGAGGUGUACACCGAUAACAUGAUCACAGCUCUAACGGCGGUGAGUUCAUCUUCUGCUGUUUUACCUUUCUGAUAUCUGAAUUCUCUCAUUGGUGCGUAAUUUUUUUUUUUUGGCUGUCAUCGGUAUAGCUUUCUUAAGCACUCAGUAGCCUUGCAAUUAUAAAAAGAAAAACAAUCAGUAGCUUUUUACAUGCUUUGAGUCAGUCAGUAGCAGUGUGGCACUAUCAGCAUUCAGCAGUAUUCAUGUUGUUUGCUAAUCACUAUCAUGGUUUGAGUCAGCACAAUCAGUAGCUUUUGACAUGGUUUGAGUCAGCAGUAUCUUUUCUAGGAACUGAAUUAGUUAUUCAUUUAGUACAACUUGUUUGUCUGUCUAUUGAUUGCUUUAAAUUAUUUCUUCUAUGCAACCCUCUAAUCCUAGUAUAGUACUAGCCUUUUAUAUGAAGAAUCAUCAAUAAUUUUCUUCUCACUUUCAGUGUAGCUUUACUUAAUGAAUAUUUUGAAAGAUCGCCUAGUUGCCUUAUUAUAAUUGUAUAAAAGGAAAACAAUCAGUAGCCUUUUACAUGGUUGAGUCAGCGAGUUAUCAGGAGUACUAUUGUUUAUCAUGGUAGUAGCACGAUAGACUAUUCAACCCGGGCGAUUAAAAUCCUUCUCCCAAAUUUGUAUUCUUUGUUUUUUCCUCAAAAAUUCACCAAACUCUUGGAACUAUUAUAGUUCAGUUUUAGACAAAAAAAAAAUGAAAUCUUAGUUCCACCCUCUUGCCGUGCAGAACUUGUUCGGAGCAGGAACAGAGACAACCUCGACGACAUCAGAAUGGGCGAUGUCGCUACUGCUGAACCACCCCGACACACUCAAGAAAGCGCAAGCCGAGAUCGACGCAUCCGUCGGCAACUCUCGCCUGAUCACCGCCGACGACGUGACUCGCCUCGGCUACCUCCAGUGCAUCGUCAGGGAGACGCUCCGCCUGUACCCCGCCGCGCCGAUGCUCCUCCCGCACGAGUCCUCCGCCGACUGCAAGGUCGG